rnacentral:tRNA from 1 species
GCCCGGAUGGCGGAAUUGGUAGACGCGCAUGUUUGAGGGGCAUGUCCCAGUUAUAUGGGGUGCAAGUUCAACUCUUGUUUCGGGCA